GUAGGUGAACCUGCGGAAGGAUCAUUAUCGUAGGGCUUCGGCUCUGUCGAGAUAGAACCCUUGCCUUUUUGAGUACCUUUCGUUUCCUCGGCAGGCUCGCCUGCCAAUGGGGACCCAAUAAACACUUUGCAGUACCUGUAAUAGUCUGAAAAACAAACAAAAAUUAAAACUUUCAACAACGGAUCUCUUGGUUCCG
rnacentral:misc_RNA from 1 species